rnacentral:rRNA from 1 species
UACGAAGGGGGCUAGCGUUGCUCGGAAUCAUUGGGCGUAAAGAGCGUGUAGGCGGCUUGGUAGGUCCGCUGUGAAAACUCGAGGCUCAACCUCGAGAUGUCGGCGGAAACCACUUGGCUAGAGUCCGGAAGAGGAGAGUGGAAUUCCUGGUGUAGCGGUGAAAUGCGCAGAUAUCAGGAAGAACACCUAUGGCGAAGGCAGCUCUCUGGGACGGUACUGACGCUGAGACGCGAAAGCGUGGGGAGCGAACAGG